GACUCAGCAGGCCUUACCCGCAGCUUCUUUCACGGCUUGCUCCCUGGCCCUGGCCCUGGCCCCGGCUGCUGCAAGAGCCACAGCGUGGGCUAAGAGGACUCUGCCUCCUCCCUCAUCUUCCCUCCCAGAGGGCAAAGCUCCUGGACCAGGCAACACAGACCUCAGGCAGACCUCCUAUGGCUUCCUUGAGCUUCACAGACUUCUUAUCGUGGGCACUGAAGAACUUGAUGGGAUUGGCAAGAGCCACGCCUGUGGGCGAUCCCUGCGAGGGAUGGAUUCAGGGAACAGGAGCAGCCCCCGUAAAAGGAGAAGUCACAGUGAGGUCACCCUGGUCACCUGUCAGUGGAGGACAACUUUUCCAAAAGACGCAACUUGAAUGUAAACAGUGCGCGGAACAGCAGGGCCCCCAGAUGCACGAAGCAAAAACCGACCAAACUGAAGUGAGAAAUAGACAGUUCAACGAUAGUAGAGACACCCAAGAGCCCAAGGAACAAUAACAAAAAAGACAAACUGGACUUCACCCUAAUUAAAAACUUCUGUGCUUCAAAGCAUACCAUCGAGAAAGUGAGAAAGUCCACAGAAUAGGAGAAAAUACUUGCACACCGAAUGUCCGGUAAAGGGACAACUCAACCAGCAAAGAGACAAAUAGCCCAGUGGAAAGACAGGCAGAUUUGAAUAGACAUUUCUUCAAAGAAGAUAUGCAAAUGACCAGUAAACACAUGAAAAGAU